GCGUCUGUAGCCUAGUUGGCAAAGGCAGCACUCUAGCAAGCUGAGGUUGUGAGUUUGACUCUCACCAGACACA
rnacentral:tRNA from 1 species